GACGAACGCUGGCGGCGUGCUUAACACAUGCAAGUCGAACGGAAAGGCCCUGCUUUUGUGGGGUGCUCGAGUGGCGAACGGGGGAGUAACACGUGAGUAACCUGCCCUUGACUUUGGGAUAACUCCAGGAAACUGGGGCUAAUACCGGAUAGGAGCUUCUGCUGCAUGGUGGGGGUUGGAAAGUUUCGGCGGUUGGGGAUUGACUCGCGGCUUAUCAGCUUGUUGGUGAGGUAGUGGCUUACCAAGGCUUUGACGGGUAGCCGGCCUGAGAGGGUGGCCGGCCACAUUGGGACUGAGGUACGGACCAGACUCCUACGGGCGGCAGCGGUGGAGAAUCUUACACAAUGGGCGGAAGCCAGAUGCGGCAGCGCCGCGUGCGGGAUGACGGCCUUCGGGUUGUAAACCGCUUUCGCCUGUGACGAAGCGUGAGUGACGGUAAUGGGUAAAGAAGCACCGGCUAACUACGUG
rnacentral:rRNA from 1 species